rnacentral:lncRNA from 1 species
GUCUUAGUUCGGCUCUAUUGCCGCGAGCUUGACUCUUCCUGGGUCUGAGGAAAAGUAAAAGUAAUUUUGUCAUUUCCUGAAACUUCAAGUUAAACCUUUAAGCUGUUCAUUUCCUAAAAGGGUGAAAACGCGGGCACCCCUCGAGCUAGUUCAUCGCCUUUUAACCUGUUGUUGGAUCUUUCCAGAUCACCACACCACAUCACCCAGCCACUCUGCCCAAUGGGAGGGCAGACAGUGUUCCAGUGUAGGAGGAAGGGGUGUAAGGUGCGGGCAGUUUGUGAGGAGGGCACCAACGAGAGCUACUGUGAGAAAGUCUGCAUGGUCAAAAAGUGGAUUACCAAGAACAAAGCAUCAUAAUGUUGUCCAGUGGACCCCAGUGGUGGAAGGUACCUGAAAGCCAGAGCUAAAAGAGCCUAUUGAAACAAUCACUACAUGGCAGCCUGUGGGACAUGGAGCUGGGCAGGAGAGAUGGAAAACAGAAGCGAUCAGGCACUGAUUAUAUGUCAAAUUCAACAAAGUUCAGAUAUACGAGGGAACUUCAAAAGUUCAUGAAAAAAAUGGAAUUAGAAGAUAAAAAUAAAAAGUGGAAACUGUAUUUCUCAACAUAAACUCCAUCAAGUUCAAGACACUUUGAAAACUGACAACUGUUUAGAACAAAGCCAAAGAUGAAACCAAAUAUAAAACCACUGAUGAAAACUAAGUGAAAAAUAUAAGCAAAAUAGAAGAAAAAUAAGGUCGUUAUUUCAAGAAAACGAAAGACAGUCAAUGCUGUUCUUUGU